UACGGGGGGGGGCAAGCGUUGUUCGGAAUUACUGGGCGUAAAGGGCGCGUAGGCGGCCUGCUAAGUCGGACGUGAAAUCCCCCGGCUCAACCGGGGAACUGCGUCCGAUACUGGUGGGCUCGAAUCCGGGAGAGGGAUGUGGAAUUCCAGGUGUAGCGGUGAAAUGCGUAGAUAUCUGGAGGAACACCGGUGGCGAAGGCGGCAUCCUGGACCGACAUUGACGCUGAGGCGCGAAAGCCAGGGGAGCAAACGGG
rnacentral:rRNA from 1 species